rnacentral:lncRNA from 1 species
CAAAGGAUGGCAGACAGUCAGGCUCUGUUAAAUGUUCUGGCCUGAGGUUUAAUGAAAACCACAUUUCAACUGAAAAAUAUGCUUUACGUGGCAGUGUAUAAAACCGGCUUUAUUGCUUUCUGGUUAAAUGCUGAACGCUAAAGAACAAAACAAGAAAGCAUUCCAAUGAUACAGGAGAUAUUUUACAUUUAGAGGAAGCCUCUCAUACUGUAGUUAAAUGAGCCAAACUGCAUCGUAUCCUUAGGGCAUGGAAACAAAGAAGAAAAAUGCAACAUCACUCCGUAAACCUGCUGCUUAUAAGAACGGCUCCGUCAGAUAUAUCAAGCACGGCAGAGACACAUAAUCACCACUGCAGCGUGCCUUCCUUCAGAGCGACUUCAGUGACAAAACAUGUAUUAGAAGCCUUACAUGCAGUGGUGCGGCUGGUUAAAGGAUAUGCCUUGAUUUGACUAGAAUCAAGAGUUUCGAGUGAAAAUAAAAGUGAAAAUACCUGCUGUACCAUCCCGCUCCCUUUAUCCUCCAUAAACUUAGCCAGCUGCUCUAGUCCCAGGCCAUACAGCAUCUGCCCAAAGCAAGCAUCAAUUAUGGAUGAGGGCGUGCGAGCAAUGUAAUGUGUGUAAGAGUGUGGAUGAUAGGGGUGUUCGAGGAGGGGGAGCUAAUCCAGGGUUUACUGACCUCCCUCUCAACAUCUGACUGCUCCCAAAACCUAAUCCAGAUGGGGAUCUUUCGGCUUGCUGCGCCUCGCCCCAUCAAUCACAGCAGGCCACUCCCCUGUCUCCUGCUACUAGUUAUAGAGUGCACCACUGAGCAGAUGAUUACACACAGAAGAAGAAAAAACACAGCUUGACUACAUUAAUAGCUGCUUCAAAAACACCAGAAAUGCUACUAUGUCAGUUGCUGGAAGCAGAACAUUUUUGUUUUAAAAUUAAGAUGCUGUACUGAAAGUUACAAAAAAACCUUCCAGCGCUUCAGGUUUCUGAUACUUAGAACAUGCACAUAUUUCUGUGUGAUUAGUUCUUCCUACAUGGGGUAGAGUUAAUACCAAUAACAUUUCUACUUCACAUUUGCUGAACUCCAUAAGUAAACCAUCAAGACUGAAAGCAGCCUGUUUUAGAUUAAAAGUACUUUAUCCUCCCAUACAAAUGAAAAAUUGUUUCCCUUUUUGUUUCAUUUCACAGCACCAAAAAUGCUUCCAAGGUUUGGUUCUGUGAGGCACUUUAAGCAAGUUAAUACUUCGCUGUUGAAGGCAUUUUCUUAGUUGCUCUAGAGUUGGUUUGAGAAUGAUUAAACUGCUAAUUAAAUCAAGUAGCAAUACAUUUAUAGAUGGGGAGAUACAGAAAGGCCCCACAGAACACAUUUUUAUUGCCACUCAAUCCCAGACUGCCUACUGAAGAGAAACCGCAAGCAGGGCAGACACUUCACAUGGAAAUUAUUCUUACAAAUGUUAGAAUUCACAUUACUAUUGUAGUAUAAGUGUUAGAAGAGUACACAGGACAGCGGAUAAACAGCUACCAGCUCAUCCUUAAACUUAUACUCCAUCUGAUACGUAUUAGAUUUCCUUAAAGCAGUGGUGCAACUCUUCCAGAUUUGUUGCUGGCACUCUCCAAUUAAUGAUAAUAAGAGCAGCCACUUCAGAUUUUUCAGAAGGAAUCAGACAUCCAACCACAGUGGACCAAUAAUCACAACUGACUGAUUUUGCAAGCUUUCUCUGUUGUAGCUUAAUUAUCUGACCAGGACACUUGACUCAGAUCAUUUACUUCUGCAGUCAUUCAAAAUGAAUUCUCCAGCUACCUCUUUUUGGAAGGUUCAUCGCAGAUACAAACGCAGAUUUCAUUUAAGAAACAGUAUCGUUCCAAAAGAAGUCUAUCCUCAAAAGAAAGAAAAUGCAAAACAUUUCCUUCAGAGAACAUGGGGCAAAAAGGCAAUAAGUAAGGAAGCAAAAAAGACUUUCCUCACUACCUGAAAAAAACAAGUUCUUUACUCUCCUUACUGUGAAGCACCUGCUUUUGGUUCUCUUCACAUACAACACGCUGUACCCAAGUAAAAGUCUGUUGUCUUGUUACUUGCUAGGUAUAUAUCUGAAAAGGAAAGGCUCACUUUGCGUUGAUGCCUGAAGUACGGAACAAACUAAUGAAACAUCACAACACCCACAGUGUAGGAGGGUUAGAUAUUAUUACCUACAUUUCAAAGGUCAACAACCUACCAAAAACUAAGUCCUAGUCAGAACUCCUGCCUACAGUAAAGACCAUGGAGUCCUAUGUAUCUACAUGAUACACAUGAAGAAAGCAUUCCCAGCAGUACCAUCAUUCUUUCUAAAAGUCACUGCUCAAACUUCCAACUACCACUAUAACACCAUGAUUUAUUACACUACCUCUCCCUGUCCUCCAAGACAGCUCUUUCUCUUGCUAUUUUCAGUGGUCCAAAUAGACACAAUUCUGUUGCAUUAAUUUGUAUGUACUUUUACAUUAUCAUCAAAAGUUUUCUUAUACUUUUUAAAACACAUUUUCAAAGCACAAGUCACCAGAACUGCCUGAAGAGCCACAGAGCAAGGGAAUCUGAAGCAUGUAGCAAGUAUUACCCAAAUUCAUUUCCACAAUGAGAGUUUUGUUUGCUAUAAAGUUUCAAACUAAGUCAUAAAAGAAGCUUUUCCCACAGGUCAAAAUAAGAAAGUACUUCUAGGUUCCAUAUUGCAUCUUUUACUAGAGCAUACCAAAGACAGACAAUGCAGCAUCCUUGUUCCCAAAAACAAACAAACAUCAGAAGCACUGGAUUGCCAACAUACCAGGUGCUUAAAAAGCUACCCAAAUGCUGGCCUUUAAAGGGAGAAGCAAUGUUUAGAAGUCUAACUGGCAGCAAACUAUGAAUGCCAUCCCUUCAGCACAGAGUCCAGUCCCAUAACAGGAUAACAUCUUUACAGAAGACUGUAUGAAGUAUCAGAACAUAAAUUCAAAUGCGACGGCCAGUGGAUCUACCUGAGAGCAGUUCUGACAUAAAGAUCUUGACAAGUUAGAAGAGUAGGAUGAGACGAACCUGACCUAGGGACAGAACAGCUCCUGCUCUGAUCUACAGAAAAGGAUCUGCUGGAGAACAGGUGGACAUUAAAUUAAGCAUGGAUCAGCAUCAACACUUAAGGCAAUAAAGGUUAACUGCAUAGUGGGCAGCAUUAACAAAAGGAUAGUCACUGGACUGAGGAAAAAGAUUAUUCCUCCCUGCACAGCACUUCUGAAGCAGCAUCUGGAACAUCCUGGCCGGUCUGGAGUCCCCCAGGAUGGGAGAUUCAUUUUGAAACUGGAGAGCACAGUGCUGGGCUGCAAAGACUGUUGGAGGACUGCAGCACAUGAGAGGGGCUGGUCACGCUUAGCCUGGAAAAGAAAGGGCUGGCAGAUCCUCAACUACAUCUUCCCCAGUGCAACAAUAGUGUAACAGAGACAGAAUCAGACUUUUCCUGGAAGUGCUGAGCAAAAGAACAAAAAGCAAUGGCCAAAAGCUGCAGAAGCAGAAAUACUGUUUGGCUAUAAGGAAUAAAAAGAUAAUAAUGAGGAAAGUUAAGCCUGAACAUGCUGUUCAGGGAGGUGGUGGAAUCUUGGAGGCUUUCAAAUUUAAACUGGACAAGUCCUUGAGCAACUUGAUAUAACGAUGUCAUUAGCCCCAGCUGAAAAAAGCAGCUGGGAUUUUAUAGCCUCUGAAGUUUGUUUUCAGCCCAAAGUAUUCUGUGAUUUCAUGUGGCUUCAAGAGUACCUGAACAUAUUUUAUGAUUUUAUACUUCUACCUUACUUGAUGGCUUUCCUCACGAAGGAUUUAUUGACAAGGAAGAGCUAAGACAAAACAUCUAGUCUACUUUCUGUCCUCGAGGAGCUACAUCUCAAUUCCUUCAGAUGGAUUUUGAAAGCUCUCUCAGGAAAAUAUAUUUACAUUUGUUUAAUACACAAGUAGAGCAGUAUGGAAGUCGCAAUCACUUAUGGCACAUGCUAGACAAGAACGGUCUCACAAAGAACUAUGACACGUCUUAAUUAUUUGCCAAAUAUCACAAUUUUCAAUAUAUGUAGAAGAACAUGACCUUUAGAAUUGCAUCUCCAUAGAAAGUAGAUUUUUUUUUUUUUGCCUUCUGCUUCAUCUCCCAAACAGUAACUUCCACUGGCAUGCAAACUUUCUAAUUUUAUCUGCAGUUUUUAUACUGAACUAUUUUUUUUUUUUAACAUAUUAAACAUAUUGAAAUCUUUGCCACCUCCUAAAUCAGAAUAUUAAUAAAGCUACUGCACCCACUUUCUUUUUUUUCAGAGUCUAAAACAGUGGUUGCACAAACUUAGUCUUACUGUUAACUGAAUACUAACUGAAGAUAUGAGAUUUUCAAAGGGGCAGAAGUUCCUAAAUCAGUUCAUAAGCAGUUGUGACAAAGAGAAGUGAGAGGUUACUGCACUGAGGAAACAAUCGAUGGGAGGUGGAGAAAGAACAAAGCAGCAGAAAUAUAUGGUGCUGUAUUAGCAUAAAAUAUUUUGUUCUGAGUAACUGUUUCUUAAUAAUCUCAAGCUCCAACUUGGUAAAGACUCAAGGCAACAAACACCAAGCAGCAAACUACAGGUCUUCACAGGAGAACUCAAGAACAACUAUCUGUUCUUACGACCCACACAGCACACAACUCAGAGCUACCACAAUGGAAGUUGUGAGUGGAAAGAAAGAAACGUGCUUCAAACGUCUUCAAAGCAAUCCAAAACCAGGUACUGCUGGGCAUUCUCCUGUAACUACAGCCAAAAAUGCAAUUCAUAGCUUAAGCAGUGAAAGCAGCAGAGAUGUAAUAGCAUGACUGUUCACUAGGAUGCACUGGCUCUUCUGAGAAGCCACAAAUACUAUCCCAGGUGCCAUAUCGUGCUUAUGUAGCAAGACUCCUAAUGGCUGGGACACAGUUCUGCAUAAUGAUUUGUAAGCCUUUCUUCCAGGCUCCACUGAGACUAUUCCUAGACUAUAACUUACAUAAAAGCAUAAACAUUUCCAGAUUUGGAAUAAAAAUAAUUCUCAAGUGUCGCCAGAUUUGCCAAGGAAUGAAGACUACAAAAUACAAGAGUCAGAGUAGGCAAAACGAACAGCAAUUAAAUAUCUUCAAAAGACAUUUGUUGUAGACUGAACUGUAUCACAGUUCCAUAUUGUAACGCGAUAGAAAGUAGCGGCAAUGACAGCUGAGUAGCAAGAUCCUACACUGCAACAAGUGAGGACUUGCUCAAACGCAACAGUCACGGGCAUAGAAACAAAGGAAAAAAGCUGCUUACCUUCAGAAGGCCUCAGGUACACAGGAAUCUCCAGAGAGAUACCCUCACCUCCACUGCCAACCCUUAAAUGAGAUCUGGGAAGGGGUGGAUCCUGGCUCCAGCCCUUCUGGUCACUCAGUACAUUGGUUGCACCUGAGCUGCUCUGGGUUGGCCCUGCCUUCCCACCAGGUGCUCAAUCACUGUUUCAAGCUGUGACUUAGCAUUUCCACCACAUGUGUACCUAAUAAGUUCUUUUUCACAUAGAAAUAUAUUAUUUUAAAUAAAAAUAAAAAAUAAAAAAAAUAGUAGGCAGUGUAAGUGAUGUGCUUCACAAGUGUUACACACAGCAAAGCAGAACUGCAGAUAAACAUGGUGGUUUCACCGGUCAGCCUAGCAGACCUUGUCUUCACAAAAGCACCACUGAAGUUACUACAUCGGAAUGCAACUUGCCCUCGGAACUGAAAUGGAAAAACAAAUCUAUAGGGAUCCUGUAAUGCUAGACAUGAAGGCUGAGUGGCAGCAGCAGUUACUUGAGUGCAA